rnacentral:misc_RNA from 1 species
AAGACUAUAGACCUGCGGAGUACCUGCGGAAGGAUCAUUAUUGAAUUGUAUUUCUAGACGGGUUGUUGCUGGCUCCUUGGAGUAUGUGCACGCCUGUUUGGAUUUCAUUUUCAUCCACCUGUGCACCUUUUGUAGCCUUAGGUUGGAAAAUUGAUGAAGUGGUCAGCCUAUUCAGCACUUGCUGGAUGUGAGGACUUUUGCUGUGCGAAAGCAUUGCUAUCCUUGACUAGGGAGGCUGCG